rnacentral:pre_miRNA from 1 species
UACAAUUUUUAACUCUUCGUUUUAUUCAAUUUUUUUACGAUUGGUAUUUUUAUUUUUAUUAGAUGAUAAAUCAUGAGUAGUACUUUACGUGUGACUAUUUUUUUUCUAAUUUUCUGAAAAUUUUCAAAUAAAACAGAUGCUCAAACGUUGGACACGGAAACCGAAG